AAACCAUAUGACAGCCAGCCGAAGACAGCAGGUGUUCCUUUAUGAGGAACAUAAUGAUUUAUCGCCUGCCGAGGAAAAGUUUGAUUAGACUUUUUUACCUCUCGAUGUCUUCGAGAGGUUUUUUUUCGGCGGU
rfam:Butyrivibrio proteoclasticus B316 chromosome 1, complete sequence.